rnacentral:lncRNA from 1 species
GGAAAGAGAAGCUAGCUGCCUCAGCCCUCAGAACCCUCCUAUGGCUCAGGAAGCGGAGGCAGUGAUGCAGAGAUGGGGCCAAAAACACAGGGCUUGUUGCCCAGAAAGAAGAGAGAAGGAAAGCAAAGAGAAUUCCACAAAUAGUGACAAAGGGAUGUUCCAAGAAAACAGCGAACAUGGAAGCAGAGAAUGCAAUCGAUUCAGGUUGGCAGGACGUCAAAUGUGUCCAGUGUGGAUGUUUCCAAGGGGAAAAUGGAACAGGAAGAUCAGCCCGGAGCUAACAUCUGCUACCAAUCCUCCUCUUUUUGCUGAGGAAGACUGGCCCUGAGCUCACAUCCGUGCCCAUCUUCCUCUACUUUCUAUGUGGGACGCCUCCCACAGCAUGGCUUGCCAAACGGUGCCUUGUCUGCACCCGGGAUCCAACUGGGCAAACCCUGGGCUGUCGAAGCAGAAUGUGUGCACUUAACCACUGUGCCCUGUUUUUAUUUUUAUUGUUCUGACCAAACCCGUAAUUUCUGUACACAUAGGUAUGUAUGUGUGUAUACAUAUACAGAGAGAGAGUUGUUUUGUUUUGU